rnacentral:misc_RNA from 1 species
CCGAGUCGCCGACGCGAGCUGUUGCUGGUUCCCAAACGGGAGCAUGUGCACGUUCCGUCAACGCAUCCACUCACACCUGUGCACCCUUUGUAGUUCUAUGGUCUGGGAGGCCCCCUGCGGUCUUCCUCCCGUGGUUCUGCGUUUUUACACAUACGCCGUAGCAAAGUCUUGUGGAAUGUGUGCCGCGUUUAACGCAAUAAAAUA